UCAGCAGCAGUACGUUUUUAUGCUUACAAUUAUUUUGAGUAAUUAUCAUAGUGUCCAGUGCCUUUAACACUGUUGGGUUUUGAAUGCAGAGUAAAAUUUCCACUUGAGUAUUACCUUUUGUUAAUGUAAUUAUUGAAGUGGAUUAGUCGAGUGUACAUUAUGGAAAUAGAAGAUGAGCAUUAUUCACGCACAAAACGUGAGUGCUUUCCAAGAAGUUGCACCUUUUUAUUUACUCCUACAAAUGCAAGAAUGAAUAUUGCACACUUGAACACGUUGUGAAUGCGCCGAUUGCCUAUGGUGCUAAAUGUCUAUACAGUAAAACGUGGCCAGGCAUGUCCUUGUAGUAUCUUUGAAGAAUGUUGAUCUGAUUUAUGAAUGUUCUGAUGUGUAACAUCAUCGGUGUGAUAUCACCGUGUGGAUAAAAAAAUUUACGUGGAGAAGGUGCUUACGAAAAAGAAAGAAAAAAAACACUCUCGGUUGAAUCUGAUGUUUCAUGCCGAUUUUGAAGUACUAUACGACUUUCUAAAGCUACAUGUAUAAUACUAAAAUGGAAGUCGGUUUUCACUGUUAGUAUCCAAUAACUAAACUGCGGAAGUCAUGUUCAUUCAUGCCUUGCAAUUUCGUCUGGAAGAAACUGCACGCAUCACCCGUUGGCUCUGACGUCACUAUCUGAUCAUUAAUUGGCUGGCGAACAUUACAUGUAGGUUACUCUCAUAUUAUCCGUAUAAUUAGAGAGUAUUAGCGUCAUUAUAUUUGGUUGGGUGCACAUGUUUUAUGUUUGGACAUAAUAAUUUAACAGCAAUUUGAGCCGAAUUGUGGUGUACCGGUAAUUAUUAUGGAUAAAGAUGUGUUACGUAAAGUGUUAUUUAGGACCAGUGGCAUGAGUGGUAAACAUAACUCUUUUUAUGUUUCUUGCAAACCUAAAAAAGGACAAAGAAAAGAAAAACAAAUCAAAAUAAAUUUAAUAAUCCCCGAUAAACCCUGAUAAAGCAAUACACAAACAACCAAACAAACCUAACAACCCAACAGACAAACGAUUAAACAUACAUGAACGACAUUGCGUCCAUGGUUACUACAAACUUAUGGAGCAUGCAGUAUGAACCAUCGUGUGCUUAACACACAUAAAUGCAUCUCCAUCAAACUAUUGAGAAAUGAGGAGGCAAAGAUCUGUUGUGAAAAGCACCGAUCCUUAAACGCCGCACAAAAUGUAGAUCUGUCAAGCUAAUUAUACAGUUCAAUCUUUAUUCGGAAGAACUGUAUCAAGUCAGUCGGCGCCAAUUAUUUUUAGCGAUGCAUAUUCAGUUUAUUUCUUCAUUAGGAAUCUUAAUAUGCAACGAAACAUAGAGGACACAAUCAACGUUUAAUGCAUUACACGGGAUGGACUUGCCGGUAGCAUCUAAGAAAUCGUGAUUUGAAAAUCAGAUGAUCGCUCUGGUGCUAUUCGGAAUAACUUCUUAAGAGUCGCUUGUCAAGAUGAUGGGCGAUGGAUUGCGCCAAUUGAGUAGCAAUCCUUCUAUGCCAAAUUGGGAAAUUAUCAAAAGAUGUGUGCUAGAGCAUUCAGUGGAAACAUGCGAUAUGCAUGUAUUUGUUUAAAAAAAUAAAUUUUAAAUAAUCUCGGUGAUUGUCACCUGAUUUGGUGAACUUACAAAGAGGUAAGGCAUUUUUCAAUUUCAUAUGAAGGGAACGGGGGAGGUAUUUUACGCUCGGAAAAAACGUACGUCGUUAGAGUUACUAAGCCUCGAGAGCCAGGUUUCGCUUGUUGAAAACAGCACUACUCUAUAUUCAUUUGUGCAUACCUACCCAUAAACCACAGCCUAACACACUCUCAUCCUCUACGAGAAGACGAGAAAAUACUUCCACUAAUUUUCCGCGCUCGGGGCUAAAAAGAUAGAAAAUCAAGCACCAAUGAAUGCUGAUCUGUGGCUGGCGUGAACCAGGCAUUGGGUUUUAUGCACGACGGGACUGCUGCAUCUACAACAAAGCGACGAUUUCCAAUCCACCUACCAUGCCGAUAAUGCCGACAAACCUUGGUAUGUCUGAUGCUAACUAACCCACAACGGGGAAAAAUUCACGGUGUCAAGUGGCUACAGCGGGAGCACGACACUUUUAAUAACGGGCAAGCAAACCGCGAGAUGAGGAGUAAUAAAUGUUCAGAUUUCUUUUUAAUGAGAGAUAAUACCUGGCAAUAGAAACACACAUGCCCAGUAGAGUAGGAGCAUUUUAAUUAUCUGGAGCGGCAACCACAAGUUCUCUUCAGAACACAUUUAUCCAUGGAUAAAACCCUGGGUUUUCAGUGAAAAUACUUGACUAUAUUAUCGCAUGUGGGUUAUAUGCAUUCAGACUGAAUUUAAAUCAAUAAGGUCCUCAUGAAUGCUUAGUGGCCUUUGGGGUUCCCGGCAGCUGGGACUAAUUUGCCAGAAAGCAGAUUUAAAUGCAGAAUCAAAAACCAUCGAUAUGUCAAUAAUUAUAUCAUCUUCCAAUUUAUAUUCUCCCUCAAUCUAGCCUUGAUAAUGAGGCGUACAAAGGCAUACACAGACGGCUGGUUCAAUUUUACUUUUUAAUUUGAAAAUAAUGUUGCGAAGGCCGAAAUGUUAUGAUGUGUAAUUUUUGUUACAGAACCGAGCUAGAAUGCAUGUCAAUUUUGACAGCGUAUACAACACAGCAUAUUAGCCCCUGCAGAGGGCCAUGUAAGGACACCGUAUCUAUUACGAAAUGCAACAAACUUAUUAUGUGGCUCUGGUGUUUUAGAAUACAAACAAGCGGCAAUCCGAUGUUUGUUUUUUCACGAAAUUAAGAUGCGUCAUUGAGCGUCAUUCAGCGUCUUUCAGCGUAUUACACUGUCGUCCCAGGCUUUGCGUCAGAAAUCCGAAUGCGAACCCCCCCCCCUUUUUAAAUUGUUUAAUAUCAAUCAAUAAUCAUGUUCCUCUUAAAAGGUUAAUUGAAUUACGCAUUUGGAUUCUGUAUUAUGGGAAAAACGUGAUAUUUAGCUGCAGCCUGGCGAGAUUCUUUUUUUUUAUCGUCCAUAUUUCCUUACACUAUUUUCUUUCAACCCACAUAACGCUGACCAAGUCCGAUCAGAUUCGUCGCCGUUGUUUAACACCGAUUUCCCCGCAUCGCUCUGCCCGUCGGCGGGGCAACUUGUUGACCCCAGUUAACAAAAUCCAUACUGCUAGCUAAUCGAUUAAAGAAUAUUUAACGCGCGCAUUAUGCAUGCUCCGUGAUUUUAUCGGGUAUACUUUCCCCCUGAUUUCCUGCUUGCAAUAUGAGUCUGAUGCUAUUUUGCAAUUGCCAAUGGGUGGACUACUAUUUAAUAAAUUGCGUUAAGACCACUAAUCACAUUAAAUUAUGACUGCGUGUAUGCCCAUUAUCGGCGCCUUAUGGGCACCAAUGUCAAAACAAAGGGAAAACUCCUAAGGGAAAUUCUAAAGACUGGGAUGCUCAACAAGAAAUAUUGUGUACCAAUUCUAUGGGAAAUUGUUGAGUAUAAGGAAAAAGAAAACAGCAUGUUCAAGAGGGAUGCAUUUUUGAGAAGCUGUAAGUGCAUGGGAUCGGUUAGACCGCUCGAGUAUCUCAACCCGUUUGAAUACAUAUAAAUGUUUUGUAUGAGAAGGAGUGCAGCGCACUUUAAAACCGCCCCGGUUGUGACGCAUCCCGGUUGCGGUGGUCGAUACUAUUAUUGCCUCAUUCAAAACGCUCACCCUCUUUGGUGCGUACAUUUUUAUCAUAUGCCUUCAUAAUCCCGCGGCUAGAUUUGUUCACUGACGGCGCCGAACUCAUGGAUUGAUCAUAGUUCGGUUCCCCUCCUUUCUAAUCAAACAACUAUUCCUGUCUCACACUGGGGAAUAUUGACAGUCUUUUACAAUCCCCAAGAGCAGUAUGCGAAGGUCGAGGUCUAUAUUUUUCUUUUCUUGCGUAGUGAAGUCGAGCGAAGGCGGCAUCAUGCACCACUUCACACGGCGUGGUAAUACUGUAUCCCGAUCACGGUUUGAUAAAAGACUGGCUGCUGACAGAAAGAAUCGCUCGCUCGAUUCUCUGCCCAUCGCUUGACCGAACCAAUAUAUCCGAUUUACCUCUCUUAAGACUUUGCCUGCAUUAUUUCCGUCAAACUGAUAUCAGUUCCUUGAAAUACCGUCUCAGCUCUCGUGAAAUCGGACAAAAAUACAGUAUUCUUUACAAAAUAAAAAAUAACAGCGGGGCUCCACUCUAGGUCUUGCGGCCAUUCACUUUUAUAUUGCAUACCUUCGUAUCUGUGUACAGCACAGAUGAAGAGUCCUAAAUAGGGCUAGGCAUUAUCACUUAUAACAGAUCAGGGCACCCGGGCAGUUGUUUGGACUAACUGCCGAAUUGUGGCAGUUCACGGGAGCACGCACUGCCAUUACCCUAUUAACAUCAUAAGCCUUACCCUCUACCCUCAACAUUUAUCGGCACAUCGGGCAACAAACUCGACCCCUUCGUAUUAUUUCUCGGUUUAUUCUAAUAAGUAGAUGUGGAGUAGUGGAAUAGCUUAAUGGAAUAAACACUUUGAUUGAACCUACAAUGCAUUUACUCUGACUCCCGCUAGUAUGUUCUUAAUUGACUCUGGAGCUUGAUACAAUACCCUUCAGUCUACUAGGCCGUAGUUUGAGACACACUAGCUAUCACAUAUCCUUUAUAACAGACCUACAUGUUUUACCACUAACUGGCAAAGAGCUGCAGAAAUCCCAAAGACUUACUAGACAGACGCCACUUUUUGAUCAUGGGUGUUUUUCCCUGGCGUUAACCGUCUUGCAGCGAAUCCCCUUCUCCGCCGGAUGAUGAAAUACCUUGUAAUUGUCCAAAUUGAAAAUCCAUUUUCGUUUUCCCGCAAAUCUCCAAUCUUAAAAUUGAAAAUUGAAUUUGUCCAGUAAUUACUUAUAUCAUCAAAGUCGUUGCACUUAAUGGCUCGUUUUGGUUCGCUGUACUUUUUCCCUUCUCAUUUCGGGACAUUGCGAUGCGGAAGGGGGGUUGUUUGUUGCUGAGACUCGGGGAAGUCCUUCUUGGUUGAUGGGUAAGAUUGCUAGCGCCUCAAGUAGCUACUAGCUUUAUUAAUGAUAUCUCCACAGAUUGUCAUGCUGACUGAUGGAUUGAUUGACCAUACACAUAAGCUAAUAACAUGGGAUAGGAAAGAGAUGGGAUAGGAAAUAAAAUGACUGACUGAGACGGACCUAUACAGUUUACUUCAAGGAAUCUUUUGACUCUUCAAGGACUGGGGGAUCGAGACAUUAACUGACAAUGUGACAAUCUGACGGUCUUUGAUACCUUGCGGACACACAAUCGGUAAAAUGAUUUAUUGCAACAAGCAGUUAACUAUUAUUGAUAUGCUACCAUACACAUCACAUCAGAAGGUUAAAACGCGCAUGCAGAGUAUGCACUUGGUGAUAGGGGGCGCUGUAUGCAGAGUAUGCACUUGGUGAUAGGGGGCGCUGUAUGCAGAGUAUGCACUUGGUGAUAGGGGGCGCUGUAUGAGAUUGUGACGUCACAUACAACGGGGUCCAUAUCUUAUUUCAAAAGAAGAAGACAGUUGUGUUGCAUGAAUUCUUUCUUUCAGACCUACUUAUUCAAAGCCUUCUAUGUUUUAUGUAUGAAUCAAACAUCAAUGCAUUUUCCACGCACUAAAACUUGCGGAUUUUGAAGGUAAAUGCUUAGCUUGUUAGCUUUACUUUGAAGUACGAUUUCAAUGCCAGGGGCGGAUCCAGUAAUUUUAGAAGGAGGGGGGGGGAACAAUAUUUAAGAGUUUGCAUCGCGAAUCCCAACAAGCGUAUCACGAGAGGCUGGUUCGACUCGCGUCAUUAGAAAUGAGCAAUGUGUUUUAUCAAUUUAAUUCGCCAGUAUGUCGACCUUCUAUGUUUCCAAUAUAUAUUCAACUUUAUGUGGUGUAUGGUUGGGCAACUUGAUCAUACUCCAAUCUGCCGAUGAGUGUGAAUCAAGAAGUCUUGCCUUUGUUUUAAGGAGAGGGGCUAGUCAAGGUUUAAAGGGUCUUUUAUGACGUGACUUAGAAUGACCAACUAUACAUAGACAGUGACUAAUGACCGGACUACGGUGGGAAAUAUAUCAAUCGCCUACCUUAAACAUACUACCCUGCAAGCAUAUCAAAGGAAUUUUAUAUAAUUAUGAUAUUAUAUACCCAUGCCUUUUAAAGAAAAUCCACUUGACCUGUUCUGCAUUAACAAACCCUUAAGUGAAGUAUCAUAUAUACAACAACAGGAAAAUGUGGCUGUUUUUGUUACCGCUCGGUACGUAGUUUGGACUGAGUGCAACCACUUACCGCACAUUCAGCAGUUUUUGGUUACUGUUAUGUUAUGAGCUGUUGUGCAGUGUGUUACACAAAGUGAGCAAUAAUGCACCGAUGGAAUGCUGUAGCGGUACGAGAUAAAUCACAAUUCCUUGUUAUUGAAGUUGGUGAACCUCUCUAGCGGCUAGUCUCUAAGGAACAUGACCUCGUUAUUACUUUAGCCGACAUACUUUGUAUUUAAAAGAAUGAUUAAUGGGGGAUUUUGAUUAAAAAACACACACACAAAAACAAACCAACAAAGCAGUUAUUUGCAAUUUUAAUUUAAGAAAUCACUUCUUGAGGAAUAAGUUUGAUUAAAGAAGACUAUGAUGUUCAAGAUAAAUGUCCCCUACAUCCCGACAAAUUCUCACGGUGUUCACUUGGCUGUCAAUGCUAAGGGUACCUUUCUUUACUGUCACACAUUGUUUAAUUACGAUGUAGAAGUUUGACACAGUGACUUGAGCCACUGUGGACACACUUUGGACCCACUGUGGACCUACUGUACACACUGUGUGCAAAAUGUUGACCCACUGUGGACUCACUGUGGACACACUGUGGACACACUGUUGACACACUGUGGACACAAUGUGGACACACUGUGGGCACACUGUGGACACACUGUAUACUCUCUGAGACACACUGUGGAUACACUGUGGACACACUGUGGACCUACCGUAGACCCACUGUAUACACACUGAGGAAACACUGUAGACUCACUGUGGACACACUGUGAGGAAGAUGACCCCUGAUGGUCUUGUUCCAAAUUUGUUGUGCACCACACUUCGAACACAGUGUAGAUUAUUUCAAUGUGAAACCACUUGGCGUUUUUAAACGGGUUAGGGACGUUUUGAGAUCAAAGUUGCCAUGUGAACAUAAUUGGUAUGAUCUAUGGGUGACUGUUCAAUCUGAGAGUUGCCCCAGUCAAUAUGACAACUGUAAAGAAUUGCUGUAGUGAACUAUAUUUGCAUUCUAACUGUAUAAGUAUUGCAGACUCACCUAAUCCAUUCAACAGUUUCAGAAAUAGCUGUUUUUAUUUUGCGUCCAGUGGCAAUCACAAUAGUGAGGCAAUUCCCGCCAGGUGUGUGUCUGGUGCAUUCAGGGCAUGUAUCUUUCAAUCUGUGCGGAAUAAUAUAUAAUUCAGAUUUAUCGCUCUGUGUGUUCAUUCUGCUUCCUUUUGCCAUGUGAGUUUCAAGGUGAUUGAGAAGCCGAAAAUGGGUCAGGCGACAAUCUGAGUCAUCCUCCCUAUCUUCAGCUCCUUUGAAGUGCUCUAAGUUCACAGGUUCAUGAUCCACACUGGAAUAGUUAGUUACGACUUCUCUCUGUUAGGGAAAACAAGAAACGUUAAUCAAACUUGAUGGGCCGAGAGGUGCCUGGGGCGUUUCGGGCUCGCUCUUUUUCAAUCUUUCAACCCGGAACAUGCAUGUUUCUAUUGAAUCGAACCCAGAAUUGCGUGAAUGUUGAGGGUCACGUUUUUACUCCGAGCCUAUCCAUCAUGUUUGAAUCCUUAUCUCUAACCGUGAAUUCAGGUUUCGGCACCGGUGGCCAUGAUGCAGCCGUGUGCGCUCGGCUCAGCUUUAAAAUGGCGGGCAGAGUCUGUGUCUUUGCCAGGUCCGAAUAGUCUCAAAGAGGCAGUCGAUGUUGAACGUGACUUCCAGCACUUUGGGCUCAUUUGGGAGGCUUUUGUGUGAGGCUAAAGAUCAAUGAUUUGAUUAGACAAAGAGUAUGCUAUCAACAUGGGAAAGGUGUUCACGUUUUCUAUUUAAAAACCUCGUUCUUAGUGCACUGUCAUUAUUGAAAUGUUUCAGACGGUAGCAUAUAUGCAGAAUUCGAUAAUUCAGGUUAAUGCAGAUAAACAGAUUGGAAGCAUAUGAAAGCACUCUCGCAGUUAAAACCCCGGGAAAGCAAACCAAAAACCAAUAAUACAACGAUAUGAAAUGAUUGAUUUGGAGGGGAUGUUGUGGGGUCGGGAAGUGGGGCCUGGAAGCAGUAGCAAGUAUUGCUGAUGUGAACGGGUACAAUUUUAACAGGGACCUGACGAACAUUGAAUACAUGAACUGCUCUACAGACACGGACGCUUGACUGAUGGACGCACAGUCGGACUAUGACAUUAACGAUUAUCAAUCAACAAUAAUAUAAGCUAACAGAAGCUAAAAUGAAGAUCUCUUUCAGUUCCAAACAUGUCUUCUUUAGGCAUGGCUUAUAUAGGCACUCAAUCCAUCUUGGUCUAGUGUGACAUUAUUAAUUUCAAAAUAUUACCCCGCCCCGGGACCGUAUUAGUGUACAAUGUAAGUGCAGUUGCACAACGGAGAAAGUGCAAGCGCCUGUUGCGACGAAUUCGCCUUAUCAAAAACAAUCAAAAACGGUCAGGUAUUAUUUACCAGAUUGGGUACGACCGGGAGAAGUAUUGAUGAUAGUACACCUGUAUAAACCAGACACCGAUCUCUCUUGGUUUGAAAAUACUGUCACGUGCGUGAGAUUUGUCCCAACACACUCAUUUCAAAGUUCGAUUUUUUACUAAAUCUAAGCAAACGCACGAACUUGCACAAAAUCCCCAACAGAUCAAAAACAUCACUUUGUUUGCCUUCGCUAGAAAACGUGACAACCUAACUUGGUGGAAUCUAAUUGGUUGGUUUGUACGAUGCCUUUAUUGAAGACGAGGGGAUACGAUUGAGCGCAUGAUCAUCAGAAAAAACAAAGCUGUUUCGAAGCUUUACGAUUUGAACUGACACAGAUGAAGUUUUUCUGGAUUCGUGGCAGGCGAAAGACAUGAUGAAGUUCAUUCUAAAAGAUACCAAAACUGAACUACCAUACAUUGACCUCAACAGUAGAUAUUCCUCUCUCCAAUUUGGUUCAACUAGAGGGCAUAAGACACCCGUACACCCACUCCAACCCUAAUAAUGUCCAAACACCCUGCCGUGUAACGGCUAAAGAUGGAAUUCAAUUUCAAAAAAAAGCACGUGCUCGAUGUUUUCAUUGGUCCCAUGCCUUCCAGUGUUAUCGACACGUGCUCAAUGUUUUCAUUGAAACUGGCAUUACUGGUGGCACAUGCUCCAUGUUUUCGUUGGUACUUUGCCUGCUAGUGAUGUUUGCACAUUCUUAAUGUUUUCAUGCCUGAAGGACAAAGAGAGGCACACACGGUUUAAUAAAUUGAAUUUGAUGAAUUGAAAAACAAAUGCUUGAGAUAAUGAAACCACAAAAUUUCUUUGAAUUGAUCUAAUUGUAUAGCUUUGCAUCUCUGCGGGGUAAGGGGGAGGGGGAUGUUUGUUGAUAUCGCCCUGCUCAAAUAUUAGAGUAUAUCGAGAGGCGCUGCGAGGGAGGUAUGCGGAAAUCUGUUAUGAGGUUUUCACAGUUUGUGCUUCAUAAAAACUGCUGGAUGGCAACUUAAAAAUAAAGUUAUACUUACCAUUUAUUUCGUCAUCAAAACGAAACUUGUGCGUCAGUAUAGCCCCAAAACGGGGUCAAAUUUACCCACACACAAAGGGGUCAAAAUGGUGCAGAAUAUAAGAA